GGGCUGGAGCAGUUGCAGCACCGAUUUCUCCGAAUCGAUGUUCUGCUUCAUGACGCUGGUCGCGAUCUGCUGCUGGGUGUUGGCAGCCUGCAUGGCCAUCAUGCUGCUAACGAUGCUCAUCACGUCCAUGGAAACGCACUCUCCCGACUCACGUGCGUGAACCUAGAUGGAGACGGUUAAUAAAAGCUGGCUGAGGGAAGCGCGGCGGAUUAGCGCGUCGGGACCGGCUUUUUGCCGCGAUAGGCGUAGAAAGCGCGCCGCCAUUUGCGGCCCAACCCCCCGCGUUUU
rnacentral:misc_RNA from 1 species